UGCAACUAAAGAUUCUGAUCUUCCAAAGAAUGUCAAUGAGAAGUUGAAGGCAAUGGACCAAACAUUGGCAAAAGGCAAGCAGAUGCGGGAUGACUGUGCUACUGUUGUUAAGAAGCUUCGGGCUAUGCUUCACUCAACUGAAGAGCAGCUUCGAGUGCAUAAGAAGCAGACCAUGUUCUUGACACAAUUAACAGCAAAAACACUUCCUAAAGGUUUACAUUGUCUUCCAUUACGCUUGACUACAGAGUACUAUAGCUUGAAUUCUU
rnacentral:misc_RNA from 1 species